GUCAUAUAGUCAAGCAGUAUUUCUCACUCUUCAGUCCUCUCUUCAUGACAGUAGACUUGUUUCGCUCAGUGGAGCCCUAGUUAGAGAAAGAUAUGAUACCUGCAGUGAUAUUGAUGAUCCUGUUCUGGAGCACAGAUCUCCAGGCUCAAAGCGUCAGUCCACCAGCUGAACUCUCAGUCAGACUGGUGGAUGGGACCACUUCCUGUUCUGGGACAGUGGAAGUCUUCUACAGAGGAAAGUGGACAGGUCUAUGUACUAGUGGGUUGUGGAGCAUAAUGAGAGAGACGUGGUUGUGGGACAUGAGAGAGACCAAGGUUGUGUGUAGAGAGCUGAACUGUGGGAAUCCUGUAGCUGAAUCUAGAGGACCUCUGAUUGAAGAUGGAAGAAGAGGAGUCACACUAUAUAGGUGUAGUGGAGAUGAGUCUUCUAUUGGACAGUGUGACAUCACAGGAGGACCUGGUGUCUGUGAUGGUGGAUAUUAUCAUCAUGUGACCUGUUCAGGUAAGAGACUGGUCACAUUGAGAGAUUUAUUUAUACAUUAUACAAUAUUACCAUGUAUCAUGUUUUAUGUGUUUUUAUUUCAUGUAAAUAGAGGGAGAGAUGUCAGAUGUAUUUAAACAUUAUAUUUGUUUUUGUCAUAUUGGUUUAUGGGAGAUGUUCAUGGGCAGAUCAUUGUAGUUCAGAUGGUACUGAAGUGAAGCUGCCUGAUGGAUGUCCAGCUGUUUAUUUUCUAUAAAGUGAAGUGAACUUAUUCCUGUCUCCUGCCUGCAUUAUUCCCAACCCGAUCCUGAGUGACUAAGAACCCAUUUCUACCUCUUACAGUAUCAAACAUAGCAAACUACUAU